UUUCUGUUCACAGUGCUACCACUUAGUUCAGGUCCUCAUUUUCUCUUGCCUGGACUAUUGAAGUAGCCUUCACUGAACUGGUCUC
rnacentral:pre_miRNA from 15 species